UACGGAGGGUGCAAGCGUUAUCCGGAUUCACUGGGUUUAAAGGGUGCGUAGGUGGGCAAGUAAGUCAGUGGUGAAAUCUCCGGGCUUAACCCGGAAACUGCCAUUGAUACUAUUUGUCUUGAAUACUGUGGAGGUCAGCGGAAUAUGUCAUGUAGCGGUGAAAUGCUUAGAUAUGACAUAGAACGCCUAUUGCGAAGGCAGCUGGCUACACAAAUAUUGACACUGAGGCACGAAAGCGUGGGGAUCAAACAGG
rnacentral:rRNA from 1 species